rnacentral:rRNA from 1 species
GUGGGGAAUUUUGGACAAUGGGCGAAAGCCUGAUCCAGCAAUGCCGCGUGUGUGAAGAAGGCCUUUUGGUUGUAAAGCACUUUAAGCGAGGAGGAGGCUACCGAGAUUAAUACUCUUGGAUAGUGGACGUUACUCGCAGAAUAAGCACCGGCUAACUCUGUGCCAGCAGCCGCGGUAAUACAGAGGGUGCGAGCGUUAAUCGGAUUUACUGGGCGUAAAGCGUGCGUAGGCGGCUUUUUAAGUCGGAUGUGAAAUCCCCGAGCUUAACUUGGGAAUUGCAUUCGAUACUGGGAAGCUAGAGUAUGGGAGAGGAUGGUAGAAUUCCAGGUGUAGCGGUGAAAUGCGUAGAGAUCUGGAGGAAUACCGAUGGCGAAGGCAGCCAUCUGGCCUAAUACUGACGCUGAGGUACGAAAGCAUGGGGAGCAAACAGGAUUAGAAACCCGUGUAGUCC